rnacentral:lncRNA from 1 species
UCCCUCUCUCUCAUCGGUGUAAAGUACCCAAGCUCUCUCUUUAAAACUCUCUCUCUCUCUCACAUCAGAACUGUGGCCUGUCCUCUCAUUCUCUUUCUCGCCCCCCCAACCGACACUGUGGCACCACUAACAAACAAAAAAAACACCGUAGCACCACGAAAAAAUAGAAAAAAAAAGGGAAGAGGGCCGAACCGGACGAUUCGACCUCGAACAAUAUCGAACUGGGUGGUUCUGCUUGGUUCAGAGCGGUUCGGGCCGAUUCAGGCCUUAUUUCGAAAAUUAGGGCCAAACCAUCUUGUUUUCACGCCGGUUUGGGUUCGGUCCCAUUCCGCGAACCAUUCUCCAUAUUAAGUGAUUUUUAAUGAAGAAUG